rnacentral:rRNA from 1 species
AAUCAACGCUGGCGGCGUGCCUAACACAUGCAAGUCGAACGAGAAAGUGGAGCAAUCCAUGAGUAAAGUGGCGACCGGGUGAGUAACACGUGACUAACCUACCUUCGAGUGGGGGAUAACCUCGGGAAACCGGGGCUAAUACCGCAUAACAUCUUUGAAGUGGAAAUUUCGGAGAUCAAAGGAGCAAUUCGCUGGAAGAGGGGGUCGCGGCUGAUUAGCUAGUUGGCGGGGUAACGCCCACCAAGGCUAGAUCGGUAGCCGGCCUGAGAGGGCGCACGGCCACACUGGAACUGAAACACGGUCCGGACUCCUACGGGAGGCAGCAGUGGGGAAUUUUGCGCAAUGGGGGAAACCCUGACGCAGCAACGCCGCGUGGAGGAUGAAGUCCUUGGGACGUAAACUCCUUUCGACCCGGACGAUAAUGACGGUACGGGUGGAAGAAGCCCCGGCUAACUUCGUGCCAGCCGCCGCUGUAAC